rnacentral:rRNA from 1 species
UUAAGUGACGAAGCGUAUACGGUGGAUGCCUUGGCAGUUAGAGGCGAUGAAGGACGUGUAAGUCUGCGAAAAGCUGUGGUGAGCCGACAAAAUGCAUUUGAGCCACAGAUGUCCGAAUGGGGAAACCCACCUGUUUACAGGUAUCGUUAACUGAAUACAUAGGUUAACGAGGCAAACGAGGGGAACUGAAACAUCUAAGUACCCUUAGGAAAAGAAAUCAACCGAGAUUCCCCUAGUAGCGGCGAGCGAACGGGGAGCAGCCCUUAAGCUGUUUAGAAUUUAGUGGAAUCCUUUGGGAAGAGGAGCGAUACAAGGUGAUAGCCCUGUACACGACGGAUUCUUUACAGUGAAAUCGAGUAGGUCGGGACACGUGUUAUCUUGACUGAAUAUGGGGGGACCAUCCUCCAAGGCUAAAUACUCCUAACUGACCGAUAGUGAACCAGUACCGUGAGGGAAAGGCGAAAAGAACCCCUGUGAGGGGAGUGAAAUAGAACCUGAAACCGUAUACGUACAAGCAGUGGGAGCCCUUCGGGGUGACUGCGUACCUUUUGUAUAAUGGGUCAGCGACUUAUAUUUAGUAGCAAGGUUAAGUGAAUAACGGAGCCGUAGCGAAAGCGAGUGUUAACUGCGCGUUUAGUUGCUAGGUAUAGACCCGAAACCCGGUGAUCUAGCCAUGGGCAGGUUGAAGGUUGAGUAACAUCAACUGGAGGACCGAACCCACUAACGUUGAAAAGUUAGGGGAUGACUUGUGGCUGGGGGUGAAAGGCCAAUCAAACCGGGAGAUAGCUGGUUCUCCCCGAAAUCUAUUUAGGUAGAGCCUCGGACGAAUUCCAUUGGGGGUAGAGCACUGUUAAGGCUAGGGGGUCAUCCCGACUUACCAACCCUUUGCAAACUCCGAAUACCAAUGAGAACUAUCCGGGAGACACACGGCGGGUGCUAACGUCCGUCGUGGAGAGGGAAACAACCCAGACCGCCAGCUAAGGUCCCAAAAUAUUGCUAAGUGGGAAACGAUGUGGGAAGGCAUAGACAGCUAGGAGGUUGGCUUAGAAGCAGCCACCCUUUAAAGAAAGCGUAAUAGCUCACUAGUCGAGUCGGCCUGCGCGGAAGAUGUAACGGGGCUAAGCAAUAUACCGAAGCUGCGGCAGCAAGUUUACUUGCUGGGUAGGGGAGCGUUGUGUAAGUGGAUGAAGGUGAGUUGUAAAGCUUGCUGGACAUAUCACAAGUGCGAAUGCUGACAUGAGUAACGAUAAUGGGAGUGAAAAACUCCCACGCCGGAAGACCAAGGUUUCCUGUCCCAUGCUAAUCAGGGCAGGGUAAGUCGGCCCCUAAGGCGAGGCAGAAAUGCGUAGUCGAUGGGAAACGGGUUAAUAUUCCCGUACUUAUAUAAUCAGUGAUGGAGGGACGGAGAAGGCUAGGCAAGCUUGGCGUUGGUUGUCCAAGUGAAAGUGAGUAGGCUGAAGACUUAGGUAAAUCCGGGUUUUCAAGGCCGAGACACGAGACGAGCUCCCAAGGGAGUGAAGUUGUUGAUGCCCUGCUUCCAGGAAAAGCUUCUAAACUUAUGAUUAUAUGAACCGUACCCCAAACCGACACAGGUGGUCAGGUAGAGAAUACUAAGGCGCUUGAGAGAACUCGGGUGAAGGAACUCGGCAAAAUUGUACCGUAACUUCGGGAGAAGGUACGCCUCUGUUUGUGAACACUUCGCGUGGUAAGCAAAUGGAGGCCGCAGUGACCAGGUGGCUGGGACUGUUUAUUAAAAACACAGCACUCUGCAAACUCGUAAGAGGACGUAUAGGGUGUGACACCUGCCCGGUGCCGGAAGGUUAAUUGAUGGGGUUAGUUUUCGGACGAAGCUCUUGAUCGAAGCCCCGGUAAACGGCGGCCGUAACUAUAACGGUCCUAAGGUAGCGAAAUUCCUUGUC